GGGUAACCUGCCCAUAAGACUGGGAUAACUCCGGGAAACCGGGGCUAAUACCGGAUAACAUUUUGAACCGCAUGGUUCGAAAUUGAAAGGCGGCUUCGGCUGUCACUUAUGGAUGGACCCGCGUCGCAUUAGCUAGUUGGUGAGGUAACGGCUCACCAAGGCAACGAUGCGUAGCCGACCUGAGAGGGUGAUCGGCCACACUGGGACUGAGACACGGCCCAGACUCCUACGGGAGGCAGCAGUAGGGAAUCUUCCGCAAUGGACGAAAGUCUGACGGAGCAACGCCGCGUGAGUGAUGAAGGCUUUCGGGUCGUAAAACUCUGUUGUUAGGGAAGAACAAGUGCUAGUUGAAUAAGCUGGCACCUUGACGGUACCUAACCAGAAAGCCACGGCUAACUACGUGCCAGCAGCCGCGGUAAUACGUAUGUGGCAAGCGUUAUCCGGAAUUAUUGGGCGUAAAGCGCGCGCAGGUGGUUUCUUAAGUCUGAUGUGAAAGCCCACGGCUCAACCGUGGAGGGUCAUUGGAAAACUGGGAGACUUGAGUGCAGAAGAGGAAAGUGGAAUUCCAUGUGUAGCGGUGAAAUGCGUAGAGAUAUGGAGGAACACCAGUUGGCGAAGCGACUUUCUGGUCUGUAACUGACACUGAAGCGCGAAAAAGCGUGGGGAAGCAAACAGGAUUAGAUAACCCUGGUAGUCCACGCCGUAAACGAUGAGUUGCUU
rnacentral:rRNA from 1 species